GGGUUGUGAGGUUAAGCGACUAAGCGUACACGGUGGAUGCCCUGGCAGUCAGAGGCGAUGAAGGACGUGCUAAUCUGCGAUAAGCGUCGGUAAGGUGAUAUGAACCGUUAUAACCGGCGAUUUCCGAAUGGGGAAACCCAGUGUGUUUCGACACACUAUCAUUAACUGAAUCCAUAGGUUAAUGAGGCGAACCGGGGGAACUGAAACAUCUAAGUACCCCGAGGAAAAGAAAUCAACCGAGAUUCCCCCAGUAGCGGCGAGCGAACGGGGAGCAGCCCAGAGCCUGAAUCAGUGUGUGUGUUAGUGGAAGCGUCUGGAAAGGCGCGCGAUACAGGGUGACAGCCCCGUACACAAAAAUGCACAUGCUGUGAGCUCGAUGAGUAGGGCGGGACACGUGGUAUCCUGUCUGAAUAUGGGGGGACCAUCCUCCAAGGCUAAAUACUCCUGACUGACCGAUAGUGAACCAGUACCGUGAGGGAAAGGCGAAAAGAACCCCGGCGAGGGGAGUGAAAAAGAACCUGAAACCGUGUACGUACAAGCAGUGGGAGCACGCUUAGGCGUGUGACUGCGUACCUUUUGUAUAAUGGGUCAGCGACUUAUAUUCUGUAGCAAGGUUAACCGAAUAGGGGAGCCGAAGGGAAACCGAGUCUUAACUGGGCGUUAAGUUGCAGGGUAUAGACCCGAAACCCGGUGAUCUAGCCAUGGGCAGGUUGAAGGUUGGGUAACACUAACUGGAGGACCGAACCGACUAAUGUUGAAAAAUUAGCGGAUGACUUGUGGCUGGGGGUGAAAGGCCAAUCAAACCGGGAGAUAGCUGGUUCUCCCCGAAAGCUAUUUAGGUAGCGCCUCGUGAAUUCAUCUCCGGGGGUAGAGCACUGUUUCGGCAAGGGGGUCAUCCCGACUUACCAACCCGAUGCAAACUGCGAAUACCGGAGAAUGUUAUCACGGGAGACACACGGCGGGUGCUAACGUCCGUCGUGAAGAGGGAAACAACCCAGACCGCCAGCUAAGGUCCCAAAGUCAUGGUUAAGUGGGAAACGAUGUGGGAAGGCCCAGACAGCCAGGAUGUUGGCUUAGAAGCAGCCAUCAUUUAAAGAAAGCGUAAUAGCUCACUGGUCGAGUCGGCCUGCGCGGAAGAUGUAACGGGGCUAAACCAUGCACCGAAGCUGCGGCAGCGACACUAUGUGUUGUUGGGUAGGGGAGCGUUCUGUAAGCCUGUGAAGGUGUGCUGUGAGGCAUGCUGGAGGUAUCAGAAGUGCGAAUGCUGACAUAAGUAACGAUAAAGCGGGUGAAAAGCCCGCUCGCCGGAAGACCAAGGGUUCCUGUCCAACGUUAAUCGGGGCAGGGUGAGUCGACCCCUAAGGCGAGGCCGAAAGGCGUAGUCGAUGGGAAACAGGUUAAUAUUCCUGUACUUGGUGUUACUGCGAAGGGGGGACGGAGAAGGCUAUGUUGGCCGGGCGACGGUUGUCCCGGUUUAAGCGUGUAGGCUGGUUUUCCAGGCAAAUCCGGAAAAUCAAGGCUGAGGCGUGAUGACGAGGCACUACGGUGCUGAAGCAACAAAUGCCCUGCUUCCAGGAAAAGCCUCUAAGCAUCAGGUAACAUCAAAUCGUACCCCAAACCGACACAGGUGGUCAGGUAGAGAAUACCAAGGCGCUUGAGAGAACUCGGGUGAAGGAACUAGGCAAAAUGGUGCCGUAACUUCGGGAGAAGGCACGCUGAUAUGUAGGUGAAGUCCCUCGCGGAUGGAGCUGAAAUCAGUCGAAGAUACCAGCUGGCUGCAACUGUUUAUUAAAAACACAGCACUGUGCAAACACGAAAGUGGACGUAUACGGUGUGACGCCUGCCCGGUGCCGGAAGGUUAAUUGAUGGGGUCAGCGCAAGCGAAGCUCUUGAUCGAAGCCCCGGUAAACGGCGGCCGUAACUAUAACGGUCCUAAGGUAGCGAAAUUCCUUGUCGGGUAAGUUCCGACCUGCACGAAUGGCGUAAUGAUGGCCAGGCUGUCUCCACCCGAGACUCAGUGAAAUUGAACUCGCUGUGAAGAUGCAGUGUACCCGCGGCAAGACGGAAAGACCCCGUGAACCUUUACUAUAGCUUGACACUGAACAUUGAGCCUUGAUGUGUAGGAUAGGUGGGAGGCUUGGAAGUGUGGACGCCAGUCUGCAUGGAGCCGACCUUGAAAUACCACCCUUUAAUGUUUGAUGUUCUAACGUUGACCCGUAAUCCGGGUUGCGGACAGUGUCUGGUGGGUAGUUUGACUGGGGCGGUCUCCUCCUAAAGAGUAACGGAGGAGCACGAAGGUUGGCUAAUCCUGGUCGGACAUCAGGAGGUUAGUGCAAUGGCAUAAGCCAGCUUGACUGCGAGCGUGACGGCGCGAGCAGGUGCGAAAGCAGGUCAUAGUGAUCCGGUGGUUCUGAAUGGAAGGGCCAUCGCUCAACGGAUAAAAGGUACUCCGGGGAUAACAGGCUGAUACCGCCCAAGAGUUCAUAUCGACGGCGGUGUUUGGCACCUCGAUGUCGGCUCAUCACAUCCUGGGGCUGAAGUAGGUCCCAAGGGUAUGGCUGUUCGCCAUUUAAAGUGGUACGCGAGCUGGGUUUAGAACGUCGUGAGACAGUUCGGUCCCUAUCUGCCGUGGGCGCUGGAGAACUGAGGGGGGCUGCUCCUAGUACGAGAGGACCGGAGUGGACGCAUCACUGGUGUUCGGGUUGUCAUGCCAAUGGCACUGCCCGGUAGCUAAAUGCGGAAGAGAUAAGUGCUGAAAGCAUCUAAGCACGAAACUUGCCCCGAGAUGAGUUCUCCCUGACUCCUUGAGAGUCCUGAAGGAACGUUGAAGACGACGACGUUGAUAGGCCGGGUGUGUAAGCGCAGCGAUGCGUUGAGCUAACCGGUACUAAUGAACCGUGAGGCUUAACCUUACAACGCCGAAGGUGUUU
rnacentral:rRNA from 2 species